GUUUGUAACAUCGAGACCCUUCUCUAACCUUCUUCGUCUCCUCCUUCAAUCUCCUCUUACCUUGGACGUUUCUUUUUCUUGAAACUCCAUCUUCGACAAUCAAUGCUUCUGAAAUCUCAUUGGUGGCUUUGUUUCACCUUUCUCUAUCUAAGUGUAUUUAUACCUCUUUAUUUUACCCCAUCUUCUUAAUUGCCUUUUUCUUCCUGAUAAAAAUUAUCUCAAACCAUGAAUUCCAAAAGCAAUUCUGGCGAUCUGAUGUCCAAGAAAACAGAUGGCAACGACGGUGAUUCCUCCGCCGUACCAAUCAAACAGACCGGCCGUACCGGUGACUCUUCCCCGAAGCUGUCUCCGGCUUCCUCGGCAACGACGGUGCUUCCUCCGCCGUACCAAUCAAGCAGAGCGGCCAAACCGGUGACUCUUCCGCCAAAUCUGUCUUCAGAAGUUUUAGCCGUCGACACAGUCGACGAUCAUGGGAGGUCUGUUUCUUUUUUCAUUACCAAGUUCUCCCUGUUUUUUUUUUCUUUUUGCAAAAAGUUCUAUUCCUGUUUUAGUUUAUCUUACCAUUCGAUGAACACUAUGAAUCCUGAAUAAACAAUGGACUAUUUAUAUUAAUAUUUUUUUUUUGGGAUUAAAUAUUAGUUGUGUUGUAGUUAUAUUUUUCUUAAGGUAUGGUGUUUUUGACCUGACAUAUGUAUCUAAGGAAGAUUGCUAUGAAAAAGUGAGGCACUUUUUGUCUUGGGUUAGUGGUCUACGAGAAUAAGGUAAACAUCCUUGCGCCAGUUUACUUUGUAAAGCAACCUUUUAGGGUACCUUACUCCAACAUUACUAAUCAACUUUUUAGGGUACCUUACUCCAUAGCUCAGGUUUACAUUGUAAAACAACUUUUUACGCUACCUUACUCCAAACUCUGGUCUCCAUUGCAGUUCAGCGUAUUGGGACAGACUUUUCUUUUGACUUUUGUCUUUACUUUCUAUUCCUUAAACCAUGUAAUUUCCUAUGAAAUAUCCUUAAUGUUACAUUGUCUGAUGAAGACCCUGACAUUGAACAGAGACUAUAUAUAACUGCAUCAAUAUAGUAAGUCUUCCUUGCUUAGCAUAAACGUACUUUUCUUUCGGUAUGAAUUUUUCUUCCUGUGUAUGAAACGUAACUUAUUUGAUGGUGUUUUUCGAUUUCGCUUUCCUAGCUUUCAUGUGACCUUUGUUUUAUUCUUUGCAGGAAGAGCACGACUGCUGCAAUUCAUUUUAGGAUGUUUGUCACGCAUAUAGAAAGAAACGUUGGGGUGUUAUGAAUCAGAGAUUUGAUUGACUACGUGAGCUGAUCACUGAGCUAACGGCUACCAUCCUCACUUGACUGCUACUGAUCAAGGUGCAUCUGUUGACAUCCAUCUCUAAUAUUUUCGGGCUCAUGCGAUCUUGGGUAUGAACAAGUCUGAGAUUGAUACGGGUGGCAGCAGCUAUUUUUUCACAAAGUUUGUUCGUUUGAUUGACGCAGGUACCUGCGGCUGCGUCUAGACGCUGCGUCAAUGCGUUAAUAGAAUCAUGACGCCGAUAAAAUCAGCGGCUGAGACUUAAAUUCUGCGUCCAUCUACAUAAUUUACCAUUUUGUCCUUAAAACAUUUAAGUAUUUACAUAAAAACCUUAACCUAAUUGACGCAAGACGCAGCUCUCUCAUCCCUGACGCAACCUCGAGCUCUCUCAUCUCCAUCUCAGGCAGACCUCGAGCUCUCCCAUCUCCACGCCUCGAGCUCUCUCAUUUCCAUCUCCGACGAAGACCUCGAGCUCUCUCAUCUUCAACUCCGACAAAGACCUUAAGCUCUCUCAUCUCUAUCUCACGCAGCCACGAGCUCUCUCAUCUCCAGGCCUCGAGCUCUCGCUUCUCCAUCUCACGCAGCCACGAGCUCUCUCAACUCCAAGCCUCGAGUUCUCUCUUCCCCUCCGAUUUGGGUUUCAAGCAUCGUUGAGGUUGUGGAAAGUUCAGAUGUUGUAUCCAAGCUUGUGAAGUUUACUGAACAAAGCAAAACCAUGAAGGAGAUGUUUGGUCUGGCCUUCACGCAUCCUUCCUUGUUGACAUCUCAGAAAGCGCAUGGUUCAAGUGUUUUUUUGCAGGUUAUUGCUGGUGUUACUGGCAAGAAACAUAGCUUAAUACAUGCAAUGAUUUUCCCCUGUUUUCCUUAUAUUCAGAUUCUUUCUGUCUUUAACUCAUUCCAUUCUCAAAUGAAAUAUGCUAAGACCUCGUGUUGUUUUUUACAUAAA